AUUACCUGUGCUUAGGUAAAAUCUCCUCUGGCGUUAGCAGAGUGUUGGAAGGUGCUUAGGUAAAAUCUCCUCUGGCAUUAGCAGAGUGUUGGAGGAUGCAAAAGAGAUUUAUGAUCACCAUUUAUCCACAGGUACUGCUUUGUUCCAAAUACCACCCCCCCUGCUUUCUAUGUAGUCUCCAAAUGCAUUCAGAGAUCUGCUAUUUGAAAGCCUUCUGGAAACUUGAUGUGAAUGGAGUGCAUCAGAAAGCAAGAGCCAAGGUCCUGGAAGUGCUGAGCUACUCAUCUGACAGCUGCCUCGAGGAAAAGCUGCUCCAUGACACAAAAUCUCUUCCUGCUCUCCUUGGACUUGUUGCUAAGUUGUUGGCUUAGCCAAGCUUUAUUGUUACCUUUCUGCUACCUUUGACAUCAUCACUUUGCAGAGUGAGAAAAGGACACCAAACUGACAUGAAGCAGAGAGAAAGAAGCGAAAUGUAGGGCUGUGGAAGAAGUGAAGUUGGUUUGUUGGUACCAUGAGGAUCCUGAUAAUUCAGAUGAAACCAAAAUCUGAAGAAGUGAGAGCUCUGUACAAGCCCUUAAAGGUACUUCACACUGUGUCCCCUUCUGUUGCUG